rnacentral:rRNA from 1 species
GGAGCUUGCUCCUGCUGGAUCAGUGGCGAACGGGUGAGUAACACGUGAGUAACCUGCCCUUGACUCUGGGAUAAGCGUUGGAAACGACGUCUAAUACCGGAUACGAGCUUCAGCCGCAUGGCUAGGAGUUGGAAAGAAUUUCGGUCAAGGAUGGACUCGCGGCCUAUCAGCUUGUUGGUGAGGUAAUGGCUCACCAAGGCGACGACGGGUAGCCGGCCUGAGAGGGUGACCGGCCACACUGGGACUGAGACACGGCCCAGACUCCUACGGGAGGCAGCAGUGGGGAAUAUUGCACAAUGGGCGCAAGCCUGAUGCAGCAACGCCGCGUGAGGGACGACGGCCUUCGGGUUGUAAACCUCUUUUAGCAGGGAAGAAGCGAAAGUGACGGUACCUGCAGAAAAAGCACCGGCUAACUACGUGCCAGCAGCCGCGGUAAUACGUAGGGUGCAAGCGUUGUCCGGAAUUAUUGGGCGUAAAGAGCUCGUAGGCGGUUUGUCGCGUCUGCUGUGAAAACGCGAGGCUCAACCUCGCGCCUGCAGUGGGUACGGGCAGACUAGAGUGCGGUAGGGGAGAUUGGAAUUCCUGGUGUAGCGGUGGAAUGCGCAGAUAUCAGGAGGAACACCGAUGGCGAAGGCAGAUCUCUGGGCCGUAACUGACGCUGAGGAGCGAAAGCGUGGGGAGCGAACAGGAUUAGAUACCCUGGUAGUCCACGCCGUAAACGUUGGGAACUAGAUGUAGGG